CGUCUGGAGCCGCCGUCGNUGCAGAUCUUGGUGGUAGUAGCAAAUACUCCAGCGAGNACCUGGAGGACCGACGUGGAGAAGGGUUUCGUGUGAACAGCCGUUGCACACGAGUCAGUCGAUCCUAAGCCCCAGGCGAAAGCCGAUGUCGAUGUUGGUGUGUCGUAUGUGUGUCUGUGCGUUGCGUUUUGCGUUAUUUGCGAUAAAGUUGCGAUUACGACAAACACCCGACUGGGCGAAAGGNAAUCCGGUUCCUAUUCCGGAACCCGGCAGCGGAACCGUUAAUAAGUCGUGCCCUCGUAAGAGAGUUCGUCGGGGUAACCCAACAGGACCCGGAGACGCCGUCGGGAGAUCCGGGAAGAGUUUUCUUUUCUGCAUGAGCGUUCGAGUUCCAUGGAAUCCUCUAGCAGGGAGAUAUGGUUUGGAACGCGAAGAGCACCGCAGUUGCGGCGGUGUCCGGAUCUUCCCCUCGGACCUUGAAAAUCCGGGUGAGGGCUACGUCGAGUUUCCUGCCGGUUCGUACCCAUAUCCGCAGCAGGUCUCCAAGGUGAAGAGCCUCUGGUCGAUAGAAUA
rnacentral:rRNA from 1 species